rnacentral:rRNA from 1 species
CCUACGGGCGGCAGCAGUGAGGAAUAUUGGUCAAUGGCCGCAGGGCUGAACCAGCCAAGUCGCGUGAGGGAUGACGGUCCUAUGGAUUGUAAACCUCUUUUGUCAGGGAGCAAAGGGCGCCACGUGUGGCGCUUUGCGAGUACCUGAAGAAAAAGCAUAGGCUAACUCCGUGCCAGCAGCCGCGGUAAUACGGAGGAUGCGAGCGUUAUCCGGAUUUAUUGGGUUUCAAGGGUGCGCAGGAGGACUGUCAAGUCAGCGGUAAAAUUUCGGGGCGCACCCCCGUCGUGCCGUUGAUACUGGCGUUCUUUAGUGAGCGAGACGUAUGCGGAUUGCGUGGUGUAGCGGU